rnacentral:piRNA from 1 species
UAGGGUCUAUGUUUGCUGCUUUAGUGUUU